ACACGAACUGCGCGAACGUUAUUCGGAAUCAUUGGGCUUAAAGAGUUCGUAGGCGGCCUGAUAAGUUGGGUGUGAAAUCCCUCGGCUCAACCGAGGAACUGCGCCCAAUACUGUCAGGCUUGAGGGAGACAGAGGUGAGUGGAACUGAUGGUGGAGCGGUGAAAUGCGUUGAUAUCAUCAGGAACACCGGUGGCGAAAGCGGCUCACUGGGUCUCUUCUGACGCUGAGGAACGAAAGCUAGGGGAGCGAACGGGAUUAGAAACCCCAGUAGUCC
rnacentral:rRNA from 1 species